rnacentral:rRNA from 1 species
GACGAACGCUGGCGGCGUGCUUAACACAUGCAAGUCGAACGGAAAGGCCCUGCUUUUGUGGGGUGCUCGAGUGGCGAACGGGUGAGUAACACGUGAGUAACCUGCCCUUGACUUUGUGAUAACUUCAGGAAACUGGGGCUCAUACCGGAUAUGAGCUCCUGCUGCAUGGUGGGGGUUGGAAAGUUUCGGCGGUUGGGGAUGGACUCGCGGCUUAUCGGCUUGUUGGUGGGGUAGUUGCUUACCAAGGCUUUGACGGGUAGCCGGCCUGAGAGGGUUGCCGGCCACCUUGGGACUGAGAUAGGGCCCAGACGCCUACGGGAGGCAGCAGUGGGGAAUAUUGCACAACGGGCGGAAGCCUGAUGCAGCAACGCCGCGUGCGGGAUGACGGCCUUCGGGUUGUAAACCGAUUUCGCCUGUGACGAAGCGUGAGUGACGGUAAUGGGUAAAGAAGCACCGGCUAACUAGGUG